GUAGUCUCGCACAGAUGCAUAUCAAUAAGCGGAGGAAAAGAAACUAACAAGGAUUCCCCUAGUAACGGCGAGUGAAGCGGGAAGAGCUCAAAUUUGAAAUCUUAAAGGGUUUCCCUUUACGAAUUGUAGUUUAAAGAAGUGUUUUCUGUUGAGGUUUUGGUAAAAGUUCUUUGGAAUAGGACAUCAUAGAGGGUGAGAAUCCCGUAUUUGACCUUUACUUUCAACUUUGUGAUACACUUUCAAAGAGUCGGAUUGUUUGGGAAUGCAGUCCAAAAUGGGUGGUAAAUUUCAUCUAAAGCUAAAUAUUGGCGAGAGACCGAUAGCGAACAAGUACCGUGAGGGAAAGAUGAAAAGAACUUUGAAAAGAGAGUUAAACAGUACGUGAAAUUGUCAAAAGGGAAGCGUUUGACACCAGUGUUGUUUUUCUGAAAAUCAAUUAGAGAACUGUUUAUGCUAAGCUUGUUUAGACUUUAUCAGCUAAUCUGUUUAGUUUUGAGCUUUUCUUUAAUGCACUUUUCAGUUAACAAGUCAACAUCAAUUUCUUUUGCUGUAAAAAAGCUUGAGGAAGGUGGCUUGAGAUUCGUCUUAAGUGUUUAUAGCCUCUUGCCUAUGCAGUCGGAGAGAUUGAGGUCUGCAGCGUAGAUCCUUCGGGGCUAAAUGCAUUUGUGCUAAGUUAUAGCAUUUUAUAGACAACUUGUUGACUAUGAUUUGUCUUGUAGCUUACUCGCUUAUGUUAUUUUACCUACGCUUAGGAUGUUGAUCUGUAGUGCGUGCGC
rnacentral:rRNA from 1 species